AUACGAAGGGAGCUAGCGUUGUUCGGAAUUACUGGGCGUAAAGCGCACGUAGGUGGAUUUAUCAGUUGAGGGUGAAAUCCCAGGGCUCAACCCUGGAACUGCCUUCAAUACUGUAAAUCUGGAGUCCGAGAGAGGUGAGUGGAAUUCCUAGUGUAGAGGUGAAAUUCGUAGAUAUUAGGAAGAACACCGGUGGCGAAGGCGGCUCACUGGCUCGGUACUGACGCUGAGGUGCGAAAGCGUGGGGAGCAAACAGGAUUAGAAACCCCUGUAGUCC
rnacentral:rRNA from 1 species